GAGUUUGAUCCUGGCUCAGGAUGAACGCUGGCGGCGUGCUUAACACAUGCAAGUCGAACGAAGCGCCUUAUUUGAUUUUCUUCGGAACUGAAGAUUUGGUGACUGAGUGGCGGACGGGUGAGUAACGCGUGGGUAACCUGCCCUGUACAGGGGGAUAACAAUCAGAAAUGACUGCUAAUACCGCAUAAGACCACAGCACCGCAUGGUGCAGGGGUAAAAACUCCGGUGGUACAGGAUGGACCCGCGUCUGAUUAGCUGGUUGGUGAGGUAACGGCUCACCAAGGCGACGAUCAGUAGCCGGCUUGAGAGAGUGAACGGCCACAUUGGGACUGAGACACGGCCCAAACUCCUACGGGAGGCAGCAGUGGGGAAUAUUGCACAAUGGGGGAAACCCUGAUGCAGCAACGCCGCGUGAGUGAAGAAGUAUUUCGGUAUGUAAAGCUCUAUCAGCAGGGAAGAAAGUGACGGUACCUGACUAAGAAGCCCCGGCUAACUCGUGCCAGCAGCCGCCGUAAG
rnacentral:rRNA from 1 species